UGAGCACAAACUGGAACCCAGGAGGUUCCCUCUGAACACCAGGCAGCACUUCUAUGCUGUUUGGCUGACAGAG